UACGUAGGUGACCAGCGUUGUCCGGAUUUACUGGGCGUAAAGAGCGCGCAGGCGGUCGUUCAAGUCGAGUGUGAAAGCCCCCGGCUCAACUGGGGAGGGUCAUUCGAUACUGAUCGACUUGAAGGCAGGAGAGGGAAGCGGAAUUCCCGGUGUAGUGGUGAAAUGCGUAGAUAUCGGGAGGAACACCCGUGGCGAAGGCGGCUCUCUGGUACGUGACUGACGCUGAGACGCGAAAGCGUGGGGAGCGAACAGG
rnacentral:rRNA from 1 species